ensembl:lncRNA
UUGUAUUCACAUAAGUACUUUAAUCAGGCACUUUGACAAGAAGAAAAAAACAUCUGGCACAUCAGGGAAGAUAUAUGAUAUGCGUAGACAUUCGGGGGAACAUGUAUACUAUGGGCUACAUUCGGUAAGAAAGAGGAUGUAAAAUUGUAUAAAUAACAAACUGUAGAAACUGGUGAAUGGACAAAGUAAAAGCUCAAAACAACAUGAUAUCCCAGCUUCUUAAUUUCAGACAUAUAUAGCCUUGUGUUUUAGGGGCAAUUUAACAUGGCUUAACAAACACUUUUAAAGGUUUCUAAGUUGGAGUGAGUGCGUCCCAAAUGGCACCCGAUUCUCUACAUGGUGCACUACUUUUAUAGCACACUAUAGGGAAUAAAGUGCUAUUUGGAAUAUAGCGUCUGUGUCUCAAGGUAUUACUGUAGUUUCUCAGAGCCAAUAAAGGUAACGUUUCUUCAACUAACAUGUUCACAAUUCAAAAUGGCAUGAAGGCUCACAAACUGUCAGGCUAGAAGAAGCUCCAAUGUGACAAAUGAAGGAAAAUGUCACACAGGUCUACAUGGGUUGCGUCCUAAAUGGCACCCUAUUCCUUAUUUAGUGAACUAAUGUAUAGGGAAGUGCACUCCUUUUGCGGAGAAAAAGACCCCCAUAGGGCCCUGGUCAAAAGUAGUGCACUAUAUAGGGAAAUUGGUGUUAUGUUAUGGUACCAAGAAAUGGUGCAUCGUCAGACACUAGUUAUUAGCCAGUUACACCUAACUAUUAGUGAAAACUAAUAAUACUGUAAAUUAACAAUACUGAUAAUUUAAAAUACUGUAGCUCAGAGAAGGAACUAAGAGAAAACUAAAAAGCAACGCCAGCAUUUUAGUUAGUGCUCUGGUCUCAGUCCUGCAUGUGAUUUGAAAAGCAGUAUUUCAGAGAUUAAUCUGGCUAUGUGCAACACAAUGUCCCCUGCAAAGAAAUUAUGAAAAUAUCUGUUGCAACGAGCUCCUCCUGGUUCAGAAUGCUGGAGAGAAUCCCAUCGAUACUAAGAUGAACUUAGUGAGCUACAGUCUGUCAGACGGACACACACAACCCCUACUCAAACCUCAAGAGGUACACAGACAACCCCUACUCAAACCUCAAGAGGUACACAUACAACCCCUACUCAAACCUAAAGAGGUACACACACAACCCCUACUCAAACCUCAAGAGGUACACACACAACCCCUACUCAAACCUCAAGAGGUAUACACACAACCCCUACUCAAACCUCAAGAGGUACACACAACCCCUACUCAAACCUCAAGAGGUACACACACAACCCCUACUCAAACCUCAGGGUUGUCCACAAAGAAUGUAAGCGGGGCGCUGCGCCACAAUGUGUACUGGCUGUGUCACUAUAUAUAUAUAUAUAUAUAUAUAAAUAAAAUAAAUUGGUUUACCCCACCGUACUCAGCAGCACCACCUUGUUAAAAAAAUCCUGGGGAGAAUUCAAACCUCACAGGUCACACACAACCCCUACUCAAACCUCAUGUCAGCUGUUUUGUCUUCUGUCUGUCUGGAUGGUUCGACUACCACUACAAUAACAACUAGACCUGUCUGUCUGGAUGGUAAGACUGCCACUACAAUAACAA